rnacentral:misc_RNA from 1 species
AUUUAACUUGGCAAGUUCUUCAUUUUAUUGCAUAUAUAGGGCCACUAUGAUGACAACAAGGGUUUUUCAAGAAACCAUCAUUUGAAGAUAUGAUUGCAGUUAUAUGAGAUAACUGAAAAUCAUAUAAAGCAGAACCAAGCAAAUACCUAAACAUUAAUGAUUUAGUGUUUAGUAGGGCAACCAACAUAACAUACAAGUCAUGCAUUAAUGGAGAAAGAAUAGGCAUCUUGUGCUACUUAGGCUCAUAAUAAAAGUAUUCUCGUCUAAUAUUUCCAAUGGGCUGAUAUAAGUGACUUCUAACCAUACUUGGUUAUUACUAGAUACGAUGGAAAAAGUCACCAUUUUAAGUGGCAUCAUAGACAAAUAAGACACACAUGCAUGCUUCAAUGUUUCUUGUAUUUGUUUUCCUAGCACUCAAUGCAGCAAUAGUUGAUCCUGUGAUCUAACAGAUGUCAGCAGUGAAUGAUGCAGACACCUGAACUCUGUUGACGUAAGCAGUGAAUGUUUAAGACAUGACAGUGAAGGAUGUGCAAGCUAUAGAGAUGGUAACUUAGUGUUGGCAGAUAUGGCAACAACAGAGGUGGUGG